rnacentral:rRNA from 2 species
CGGCCGCGGCGGUAAAACCAGCACCUCAAGUGGUCUGGAUGAUUAUUGGGCCUAAAGCAUCCGUAGCCGGCUCUGUAAGUUUUCGGUUAAAUCUGUAUGCUCAACAUACAGGCUGCCGGGAAUACUGUAGAGCUAGGGAGUGGGAGAGGUAGACGGUACUCGGUAGGAAGGGGUAAAAUCCUUUGAUCUAUUGAUGACCACCUGUGGCGAAGGCGGUCUACCAGAACACGUCCGACGGUGAGGGAUGAAAGCUGGGGGAGCAAACCGGAUUAGAUACCCGGGUAGUCCCAGCUGUAAACUAUGCAAACUCAGUGAUGCAUUGGCUUGUGGCCAAUGCAGUGCUGCAGGGAAGCCGUUAAGUUUGCCGCCUGGGAAGUACGUACGCAAGUAUGAAACUUAAAGGAAUUGGCGGGGGAGCAC